ACCUAGAUUAAUGCUGUCUGCUCUGUGUUACCAGGUCCUGGACCAUUAGACUUGGCUGCUCAAUGUGUGCUGCUCCAGUCCUUGACCUUGCACAGAUGCGUUCCUUGGGUUCUGCACUGAGACCAUGGAUCUUCUGAGCCACCUCCAGCACGGCAUUUGCAUGGGACUGCAAGUGCAACUCUCCUGCUGCAAAGUGCGUGCCCGCUUAAUCAGCUAAAGGAGCAAUAUUGUGCAAAGUGCCCCCCACCCAACAGGCUGCUCUGCAACAGGAAUCAAUCAGGUCCCAACUUUCCAGCUGAGGUGUAGAACCUGGUAACACCCUGCAUCUUGUGACCAGCUGCCCUCACUCAGCAGUGAUGGGAAUGUCCUUGAGUCUUUAUGGACCUGUUCCUGCAAUGCAGCUUUUCAGCUGGUGAGGAGACCUUGCAGUGAUGCAUCAAGUGGAGCUGCGUUGUGCUGCAAAACCACGAGAAGAGCAUCAAGACUCCCUUAGAAAAAAGGUAGAAAUAAAGAACUUUGAAGAUUUUAGUCAGUGAAGAUCUUCCAGCUCAAUCAGCAAAGAUCUCUGCAUCACUACCAUCUGCUCAGGGAAAAGAGAUCGCCCCUACGGCACUUCUGGAGUUCGCUCGGCGAAGCGGCGGCAGCGGCAAGAACCGAGGUGAGCCCGGGGAGAGGGUUGGAUCCCGCUGUACAGAGGGGUUUCCGAGCUCAGGGACCCCCAGCUCACAGCCCCAGCCCCAGCGGGAACCCGGAAGCCCGCAACAACCAAUCAGGAGCGGAGGGGGCGUGGCCAGGACUCGCGGAGAUUUAAACGCGGCCGGAGCAGGCCCUCAGGCGCGCGGCGGAGCGGCGGUAGCGGCCUCACAGGAGUGCGGCGCGUGACAGGUGAGUUCAGGCAGGCCCGGCCUUCUCAAUAACGAGAGCUGAGCAGUGUGCGCAACUUCG
rnacentral:lncRNA from 1 species